CAGGGGGCUGCCUUCUCUACU
rnacentral:miRNA from 1 species